CAAGAUUAACCAUGCAUGUCUAAGUAUAAGCACUUUAUACUGUGAAACUGCGAAUGGCUCAUUAAAUCAGUUAUCGUUUAUUUGAUAGUACCUUACUACAUGGAUACCUGUGGUAAUUCUAGAGCUAAUACAUGCUAAAAACCUCGACUUCGGAAGGGGUGUAUUUAUUAGAUAAAAAACCAAUGCCCUUCGGGGCUCCUUGGUGAUUCAUAAUAACUUAACGAAUCGCAUGGCCUUGCGCCGGCGAUGGUUCAUUCAAAUUUCUGCCCUAUCAACUUUCGAUGGUAGGAUAGUGGCCUACCAUGGUGGCAACGGGUAACGGGGAAUUAGGGUUCGAUUCCGGAGAGGGAGCCUGAGAAACGGCUACCACAUCCAAGGAAGGCAGCAGGCGCGCAAAUUACCCAAUCCCGACACGGGGAGGUAGUGACAAUAAAUACUGAUACGGGGCUCUUUUGGGUCUCGUAAUUGGAAUGAGUACAAUCUAAAUCCCUUAACGAGGAACAAUUGGAGGGCAAGUCUGGUGCCAGCAGCCGCGGUAAUUCCAGCUCCAAUAGCGUAUAUUAAAGUUGUUGCAGUUAAAAAGCUCGUAGUUGAACCUUGGGUCUGGCUGGCCGGUCCGCCUCACCGCGAGUACUGGUCCGGCUGGACCUUUCCUUCUGGGGAACCUCAUGGCCUUCACUGGCUGUGGGGGGAACCAGGACUUUUACUGUGAAAAAAUUAGAGUGUUCAAAGCAGGCCUUUGCUCGAAUACAUUAGCAUGGAAUAAUAGAAUAGGACGUGCGGUUCUAUUUUGUUGGUUUCUAGGACCGCCGUAAUGAUUAAUAGGGAUAGUCGGGGGCGUCAGUAUUCAGCUGUCAGAGGUGAAAUUCUUGGAUUUGCUGAAGACUAACUACUGCGAAAGCAUUCGCCAAGGAUGUUUUCAUUAAUCAGGGAACGAAAGUUAGGGGAUCGAAGACGAUCAGAUACCGUCGUAGUCUUAACCAUAAACUAUGCCGACUAGGGAUCGGGCGGUGUUUCUAUGAUGACCCGCUCGGCACCUUACGAGAAAUCAAAGUUUGUGGGUUCUUGCGGCGGCACGUAUGUCCCC
rnacentral:rRNA from 1 species